AUGCAUUGGCGCUCCUGGGACUGGCUGUCCACACCAAAAUCGCUCGGAGGCAUGGGUUUCGGGGAUUUGGCGCUCUUUAACCAGGCGAUGCUCAAUAAACAGGGAUGGCGUCUCCUGACUGAACCAGGAUCGCUGUGUGCGCAGGUCUUAAAAGGGAGGUAUUUUCCUUCCAGUGACUUUUGGAAUGCAUCUGCUCCCCGCUCGGCCUCUGCCACUUGGCAGGCCAUUCUCCAUGGUCAUGAA
rnacentral:rRNA from 1 species